rnacentral:rRNA from 1 species
GACGAACGCUGGCGGCGUGCUUAACACAUGCAAGUCGAACGGAAAGGCCCUGCUUUUGUGGGGUGCUCGAGUGGCGAACGGGUGAGUAACACGUGAGUAACCUGCCCUUGACUUUGGGAUAACUUCAGGAAACUGGGGCUAAUACCGGAUAGGAGCUCCUGCUGCAUGGUGGGGGUUGGAAAGUUUCGGCGGUUGGGGAUGGACUCGCGGCUUAUCAGCUUGUUGGUGGGGUAGUGGCUUACCAAGGCUUUGACGGGUAGCCGGCCUGAGAGGGUGACCGGCCACAUUGGGACUGGGAUACGGCCCAGACUCCUACGGGAGGCAGCAGUGGGGAAUAUUGCACAAUGGGCGGAAGCCUGAUGCAGCAACGCCGCGUGCGGGAUGACGGCCUUCGGGUUGUAAACCGCUUUCGCCUGUGACGAAGCGUGAGUGACGGUAAUGGGUAGAAGCACCGGCUAACUACGUG